rnacentral:rRNA from 1 species
GACAGAGGCGGCGAGCGUUACCCGGAUUCACUGGGCGUAAAGGGUGCGUAGGCGGUCGCGCAUGUCGCCGGUGAAAUCUCCCUGCUCAACGGGGAGAGGUCCGACGAAACUGCGCGGCUGGAGGGUCGGAGAGGGAGGCGGAACUUCCAGAGUAGCGGUGAAAUGCGUAGAUACUGGAAGGUACCUCAAUAGCGAAGGCAGCCUCCUGGCCGGUUUCUGACGCUGAGGCACGAAAGCGUGGGGAGCAAACCGG